GGCAAUGAACUUUGUAGAUUUUCACUAAAGGUGAGCAGUGGAAGGAAGAGCAUUCCAGGCACUAAGAAGAUUCAGACAGUCAUUACUGGAGAACAUUUUAACACUAUGUUUUGGGUUUUUUCUAUUUUGUUUGCUUCCCCCCUCUCUGUAUGUUCUAUCAUCCUUUGAUCUAGCAUAAUGAGUUACACUGUAUUAAAGGGGAAAAAAAGGGAAAAAAAAGUAUAAUAAAAAAAGUUCAGACCACCUGGGGGCAGUGAUUCCACUGGCAAAAGUGAUUGGCUGGGAACUAGACUGAGUGAUGGGAGAAGCAGGAAAGAGUAUAUUCAAUGAUGAGUUUGACGUGACAGGUCAGCUUUUGAUUGGUUGUGAAAACAGUAUGAAGAUCACCUAAGCUUCCAAACCAAAAGAAGCAGAAGAAUCCAGAACAGUGAACCAGGCUCAAUGAACAUUGUCAGUUCCAGGGCUCCAAACUGAAUGGUCAGAGACUCCAGGAAGAAGCAGGAAUGGAGAUUGCCCUACAAGCCUUGCUGAUGCUCCUGUGUGUGAAGCUAACCUGGUCAAAUGGACAGCGUCCAGUGGAACAGAGCCCUCCUUCCCUGACAGUCCAGGAAGGCGAGAGCUUCACAAUAAACUGCACUUACAAAGACAGUACUCUGGAUUUCUUCCAAUGGUUUAGGCAGGAUCCCACGGAAGGCAUCCACACUCUGAUACAUAUUCGAUCAAAUGAGAAAGAGAAGAUCAGAGGAAGAUUUACAGCCACGUCUAACAAAGGGGACAAGCACUUUUCUCUGCACUUGAAAGAUUCACUCCUCUACGACUCAGCCACCUUCCUGUGUGCAGUGGAUAGCACAGUGCUUCUCAGACGCCUGUGCCUUGCACCCAAACCCUGCUCAGCCCUGCGCCAACUUCUACAAGGGCUCCAGGGCGCUGAACUUAACUUUGAGCAAACACGAGGGACUUUUAAUAACGUGAUGUCAAAUAUUUCAUUUGAAGAUCUUGGGCAGAGGGAUAAUGUUUUCAAAUACCAUCUAAUGUAUUUUGUUUCUCAGUGUGAAGUCCUUACUCCAUUAAACCUAGUCCAAGAUCCUGAGGCUUAAUACCAGAAAGGGGAGAGCACUAAAGAACAAAGAGAGAACAGAAUAAAAUUCUCACCCUUGAGCUCUUUUGUAGACUUUUACAAAUACAUUGAAAAUACAAAAUCUUAAAAGCCAUGACCAUCAAAUUCAGUAGUGAAAGAAAAUAUAUUUUGACAUUCUGAAAAGGCUGGCUUAGAAGAUCAAGAACAAAAAGCUGAGGGAAAAUGGUAUAAAGUUUAUAAAGGACGAAGUGUAAAGAUAACACAGUAUGAUAGAAAGUCUGGUUCCUCCUGAAAAGUGGAGGCUAGCUGGUUAGGGAAGAGUCAAGGGGUAUAACCAGAAGUUACUAGCCAGAGGUCUUUCAAAGUCCCAAACAACUGCUCUUUCUAGGAUCAGAACCCUGAGCAGGUGAGUGGGAGGAGGACGAGUCACAUUUGGGGCAACGAUGAACUCAAGAAGCAGUGAGUGCAGGCACGGUGUUCUGGUCAUUGUGUCUCACAUCAAUAGCCACCACAAAGCAUUCACUACAAGGAGCUCAAUGGCCAUGUGGAAAAGAUGACCCAUUCAGAGGACAUCACCAG